GGUUAAGCGACUAAGCGUACACGGUGGAUGCCCUGGCAGUCAGAGGCGAUGAAGGACGUGCUAAUCUGCGAAAAGCGUCGGUAAGGUGAUAUGAACCGUUAUAACCGGCGAUGUCCGAAUGGGGAAACCCAGUGCAAUUCGUUGCACUAUCGUUAACUGAAUACAUAGGUUAACGAGGCGAACCGGGGGAACUGAAACAUCUAAGUACCCCGAGGAAAAGAAAUCAACCGAGAUUCCCCCAGUAGCGGCGAGCGAACGGGGAGCAGCCCAGAGUCUGAAUCAGCUUGUGUGUUAGUGGAACGGUCUGGAAAGUCCGACGGUACAGGGUGAUAGUCCCGUACACCAAAAUGCACAGGCUGUGAACUCGAAGAGUAGGGCGGGACACGUGGUAUCCUGUCUGAAUAUGGGGGGGACCAUCCUCCAAGGCUAAAUACUCCUGACUGACCGAUAGUGAACCAGUACCGUGAGGGAAAGGCGAAAAGAACCCCGGCGAGGGGAGUGAAAAAGAACCUGAAACCGUGUACGUACAAGCAGUGGGAGCACCUUCGGGUGUGACUGCGUACCUUUUGUAUAAUGGGUCAGCGACUUAUAUUCUGUAGCAAGGUUAACCGUAUAGGGGAGCCGCAGGGAAACCGAGUCUUAACUGGGCGUUAAGUUGCAGGGUAUAGACCCGAAACCCGGUGAUCUAGCCAUGGGCAGGUUGAAGGUUGGGUAACACUAACUGGAGGACCGAACCGACUAAUGUUGAAAAAUUAGCGGAUGACUUGUGGCUGGGGGUGAAAGGCCAAUCAAACCGGGAGAUAGCUGGUUCUCCCCGAAAGCUAUUUAGGUAGCGCCUCGUGAACUCAUCUUCGGGGGUAGAGCACUGUUUCGGCUAGGGGGUCAUCCCGACUUACCAACCCGAUGCAAACUACGAAUACCGAAGAAUGUUAUCACGGGAGACACACGGCGGGUGCUAACGUCCGUCGUGAAGAGGGAAACAACCCAGACCGCCAGCUAAGGUCCCAAAGUCAUGGUUAAGUGGGAAACGAUGUGGGAAGGCACAGACAGCCAGGAUGUUGGCUUAGAAGCAGCCAUCAUUUAAAGAAAGCGUAAUAGCUCACUGGUCGAGUCGGCCUGCGCGGAAGAUGUAACGGGGCUAAACCAUGCACCGAAGCUGCGGCAGCGACACUAUGUGUUGUUGGGUAGGGGAGCGUUCUGUAAGCCUGCGAAGGUGUGCUGUGAGGCAUGCUGGAGGUAUCAGAAGUGCGAAUGCUGACAUAAGUAACGAUAAAGCGGGUGAAAAGCCCGCUCGCCGGAAGACCAAGGGUUCCUGUCCAACGUUAAUCGGGGCAGGGUGAGUCGACCCCUAAGGCGAGGCCGAAAGGCGUAGUCGAUGGGAAACAGGUUAAUAUUCCUGUACUUGGUGUUACUGCGAAGGGGGGACGGAGAAGGCUAUGUUAGCCGGGCGACGGUUGUCCCGGUUUAAGCAUGUAGGCUGGUUGUCCAGGCAAAUCCGGAUAAUCAAGGCUGAGGUGUGAUGACGAGGCACUACGGUGCUGAAGUAACAAAUGCCCUGCUUCCAGGAAAAGCCUCUAAGCAUCAGGUAACAUCAAAUCGUACCCCAAACCGACACAGGUGGUCAGGUAGAGAAUACCAAGGCGCUUGAGAGAACUCGGGUGAAGGAACUAGGCAAAAUGGUGCCGUAACUUCGGGAGAAGGCACGCUGGUGUGUAGGUGAAGCCCCUGCGGGUGGAGCUGAGACCAGUCGAAGAUACCAGCUGGCUGCAACUGUUUAUUAAAAACACAGCACUGUGCAAACACGAAAGUGGACGUAUACGGUGUGACGCCUGCCCGGUGCCGGAAGGUUAAUUGAUGGGGUUAUCCGUAAGGAGAAGCUCUUGAUCGAAGCCCCGGUAAACGGCGGCCGUAACUAUAACGGUCCUAAGGUAGCGAAAUUCCUUGUCGGGUAAGUUCCGACCUGCACGAAUGGCGUAAUGAUGGCCAGGCUGUCUCCACCCGAGACUCAGUGAAAUUGAACUCGCUGUGAAGAUGCAGUGUACCCGCGGCAAGACGGAAAGACCCCGUGAACCUUUACUAUAGCUUGACACUGAACAUUGAGCCUUGAUGUGUAGGAUAGGUGGGAGGCUUUGAAGCGUGGACGCCAGUCUGCGUGGAGCCAACCUUGAAAUACCACCCUUUAAUGUUUGAUGUUCUAACGUUGGCCCCUUACCGGGGUUGCGGACAGUGUCUGGUGGGUAGUUUGACUGGGGCGGUCUCCUCCCAAAGCGUAACGGAGGAGCACGAAGGUUAGCUAAUCCUGGUCGGACAUCAGGAGGUUAGUGCAAUGGCAUAAGCUAGCUUGACUGCGAGCGUGACGGCGCGAGCAGGUGCGAAAGCAGGUCAUAGUGAUCCGGUGGUUCUGAAUGGAAGGGCCAUCGCUCAACGGAUAAAAGGUACUCCGGGGAUAACAGGCUGAUACCGCCCAAGAGUUCAUAUCGACGGCGGUGUUUGGCACCUCGAUGUCGGCUCAUCACAUCCUGGGGCUGAAGUAGGUCCCAAGGGUAUGGCUGUUCGCCAUUUAAAGUGGUACGCGAGCUGGGUUUAGAACGUCGUGAGACAGUUCGGUCCCUAUCUGCCGUGGGCGCUGGAGAAUUGAGGGGGGCUGCUCCUAGUACGAGAGGACCGGAGUGGACGCAUCACUGGUGUUCGGGUUGUCAUGCCAAUGGCACUGCCCGGUAGCUAAAUGCGGAAGAGAUAAGUGCUGAAAGCAUCUAAGCACGAAACUUGCCCCGAGAUGAGUUCUCCCUGAGACUUUAAGUCUCCUGAAGGAACGUUGAAGACGACGACGUUGAUAGGCCGGGUGUGUAAGCGCAGCGAUGCGUUGAGCUAACCGGUACUAAUGAACCGUGAGGCUUAACCUU
rnacentral:rRNA from 1 species